CUUGUGUAUCCCGGGUUUGUGACUAGGAUUACCGGCACUUGGUCAGGAGCAGCGGGGGAUUUGGAAUCUCCAUAUUUGCAGGAUAUCAGGAAAGGGUAAAUCUGUUUCUAAUCAGCCAUGAGUGACGGAGCUGGACGAUGAAUGUACAUGUUCGGGCCACACUAGACUAAGCGGGUUGGGGUCUACCAGUGUUGAAACUUUUGUAAUUCUGUUUUGCCGCUUUGGUCGGCUAAGGGAAAAGACUUGUAAUAUUUUGUAAAAUAAUUUUUGGGAUCCCGAAACAUGUAAAUUUUGUUUGUAAGGUUAAAAUUAUUACAAGUUUAUUUUUCA